AUUGAACGCUGGCGGCAGGCCUACCAACUGCAAGUCGAACGCGUGGCGGACGGGUGAGUAAUGUCUGGGAAACUGCCCGAUGGAGGGGGAUAACUACUGGAAACGGUAGCUAAUACCGCAUACACUCAGAUGUUCCCAGAUGGGAUUAGCUUGUAGGUGAGGUAACGGCUAACCUAGGCGACGAUCCCUAGCUUGGCUGAGAGGAGGACCAGCCACACUGGAAAUGAGACACGGUCCAGAUUACGAUGGGAGGCAGAAGUGGGGAAUAUUGCACAAUGGUCGAAAUCCUGAUGCAGCGAUGCCGCGUGGAUGAAGAAGGACUUCGGGUUGUAAAGUACUUGCAGCGGGGAGGCGUUACCCGCAGAAGAAGCACCGGCUAACGCCGGGCCAGCAGCCGCGGUAAGAC
rnacentral:rRNA from 1 species